rnacentral:rRNA from 1 species
UACGGGGAGGCAGCAGUGGGGGAAUAUUGCACAAUGGGCGCAAGCCUGAUGCAGCCAUGCCGCGUGUGUGAAGAAGGCCUUCGGGUUGUAAAGCACUUUCAGUCGUGAGGAAGGUAGUGUAGUUAAUAGCUGCAUUAUUUGACGUUAGCGACAGAAGAAGCACCGGCUAACUCCGUGCCAGCAGCCGCGGUAAUACGGAGGGUGCGAGCGUUAAUCGGAAUUACUGGGCGUAAAGCGCAUGCAGGUGGUUUGUUAAGUCAGAUGUGAAAGACCCGGGGCUCAACCUCGGAAUUGCAUUUGAAACUGGCAGACUAGAGUACUGUAGAGGGGGGUAGGAAUUUCAGGUGUAGCGGUGAAAUGCGUAGAGAUCUGAAGGAAUACCGGUGGCGAAGGCGGCCCCCUGGACAGAUACUGACACUCAGAUGCGAAAGCGUGGGGAGCAAACAGGAUUAGAUACCCUGGUAG